GCAGAUCCAGCCCCAGGAGCCAUAGAGAGGAGGUUUCGUGGGUGCAAGAAGAAAAGAGGUACAGAACACCCAGAGGUGCCCUCGAUUCCGUCUUGCACUUGCCCUUCUCCCACCGUCCAGCAAUAAAGCGAGAGAAACAAGUGCAGGAAACUGGCCGGCAGUCAUGGGAGAAGCCAAAAAGACAGCCUUGGGGAGCCGGCGGGAUCCAGAGCGGGGCUCCUCUCCGCACUUUGUAGCUGCGUUGCUCCGCUCCAUGCCCUGCCUCAGCCACUCCUCCUGGUUACCAGGCAAAAGGAAACACCUUGAGCUGGCCAGGAGCUACCAGCGUCUGUCUACACCUGGGAGUUCAGUGGCAUGACCAGGGCUCACUGCAACCUUGAUCUGGGCUCAAGUGAUCCUCCUACCUCAGCUUCCUGAGUAGCUAGGACCACAGGUGUGCACCAACCACACCCGACUAAUUUUUGUAGAGAUGAGAUCCCACUAUGUUACCCAGGCUGGUCUUGAACUCCUGGGCUCAGGUGAUCAUCCUGCCUUGGCUUCCCAAAGUACUGGGAUUAUAGGCUUGAGCCACCGUGCCUGGCCUGUGAUCAGAAUUCUCAUUUUUUUAGUCACUAAAAAUGCUGGGGGGCACUCCAUUCUCCAUUAUGUGAUUAGUUCACAUUGCAUGCUUGUAUCAAAACAUCAUAUAUACCCCACAAAUAUAUACAAAAAACUUUAAAAUUUUAAGUAUUAAUUGCUCAGGAAAAAAUUAAAAUGCUGGGGUGCUGAAAUCUCAAGGGCCCCAUUACAAAACUCCUUAGGAACCUCGCCCUCUCUCUGCUGUAAGGACUGGUUCCAGAAUGAGAGAAUUUAAAAGACAUUCCCCCCCCAAAAUGUUCAUAAUGUCACCCCGGAAACCUGCGAAUAUGUUAUAUUACAUGACCAGGGAGAAGUAAGGUUGCAGAUGGCAGUAAGGUUGCUAAUGGGCUGACCUUAAGAUAAGGAGAUGAUCCUGGAUUAUCUGGGUGGACCCAAUGUAAUCACAAGGGUCCUUAACUGUGGAAUAGUGAGGUGGCUGAGUCAGAGGCAGAGUGAUGCAAUGACUGAAAGACUUAACCAGCCAUCACCGGCUUUGAAUACGGAAGACGGUCAUGAGCCAGGGAAUGCAGGCAGGCUCUGGGAGCUGAAAAAAGCAAGAAAAUGGAUUCUCCCCUGGAGCCUCCAGAAGGGAUGCGGUCCUGCCAACCCCUUGUCAGUGAGCCAUUUCAGAUUUCUGACUUCCAGGACUGUAAGAAAAUAAACUUGUCUUGUUUUCAGC
rnacentral:lncRNA from 1 species